ACUUCCCCGACUUUGUCCUUUAAAUUGACUAGUCCGAUAAGAUGAUCUCACUUUAAGUAAUCAUUUGUGUUUAGGUUUUUCUCCAGCAGUUUUGUAUUACAAUUUAAAAAUAGACUCGCCUAUGCCUGUACUCAUGUUAGCUAUGGUAUUUUGAACUUGAUUUCUGAGGCUGCUGACAGCUUUUGAAAGAUUUAACUACUGGCAGCAAUGAAAAGUCCCAUAGAAUCUGUUCUCUGAAAUCUUUUCCUCCUGGAGAGAAAAAUAAAGGGGCAUCAUUUAGCAGGGAAUGUAUCGCCAUAAAAAUAUGGUUAUGCAAUAAUGUCUCAUUAAUAUGAUAAAUCAUAACAUAACCUUUUCUAUUAAAUGUAAAAGGCAAUUUAUUGAAAUGAAGGCAUUUUCUUCCCCCAUGGCAUAUUUCCAUAGUUGGUUCGAAAGGAUAUUUUUAUUAUUAUUCAAAACAGUCAUUACUGAGUGGCAAGGACAGCAACUGUGUUUGAAGUCCUUGUGCUUUCAGAUUUAUUCCUACAUGGAACAGUCAAGGACCUACUAGGCUCCAAUAUUCUGGAAGAACUAAGUCUGCUUUGCCCAGUCUGGUUCUACAACCAUUACCUCAACAUAUUGGCAGUACAUAUCUUUUCAAUAGAUUUCAUAUUGGUUAUCCAAACUAGAAAAACUGUGAGUGAAUUGAAGUUGGAGC
rnacentral:lncRNA from 1 species